GAGUUUGAUCCUGGCUCAGGGUGAACGCUGGCGGUACGCCUAAUGCAUGCAAGUCGAGCGUGCCGGGCCCGAUUCGUCGGGACCGGAAAGCGGCGGACGGCUGAGUAACGCGUGAGUAACCUGUCCCUCGGUGGGGUAAAACCCCGAGAAAUCGAGGCUAAUACCGCGUACGGUCUUCUAGCCUUGGCUAGGAGACGAAAGUCCCGUGAAUAGCGGGAUGCCGGAGGAGGGGCUCGCGUCCUAUCAGGUAGUUGGUGGGGUAAUGGCCUACCAAGCCGUUGACGGGUAGCUGGUCUGAGAGGAUGAUCAGCCAGAGGGGGACUGCGACACGGCCCCCACUCCUACGGGAGGCAGCAGCAGGGAAUUUUGGGCAAUGGGCGAAAGCCUGACCCAGCGAUACCGCGUGGGGGAAGAAGGCCCACGGGCUGUAAACCCCUUUUCCGAGGGAAGAGUAAGGACGGUACCUCGGGAAUAAGCCCCGGCUCACUACGUGCCAGCAGCCGCGGUAAUACGUAGGGGGCAAGCGUUACCCGGAUUUACUGGGCGUAAAGGGCGAGUAGGCGGCUUGCCAAGUCUCAUGUGGAAUCUCCCGGCUCAACUGGGAGGGGUCAUGAGAAACUGGCAGGCUUGAGGUCAGCAGAGGAGAGUGGAAUUCCCGGAGUAGCGGUGAAAUGCGUAGAUACCGGGAGGAACAACCGAGGCGAAGGCGACUCUCUGGGCUGCACCUGACGCUGAGGCGCGAAAGCAUGGGGAGCAAACCGGAUUAGAUACCCUGGUAGUC
rnacentral:rRNA from 1 species